UCAGAUUUGGUGUUGAUGUUAUUAAUUAAUUAUUUUCAGUUUUGGUUGAUUAAUAUAUAAGUUAGGGUUUUAAUUAGUUUAGUGAUUUAAUUCAGGGAUUAUUGAAUGUAAAUUAUAAGUUAUUAUGAUUAAAUUAUAUUUUCAGAUUAUAUAUUAUGUUUAAAUAAUAAAUUUAAUUUUCAGAUUAUGUAAUCGAAUUGAAAUAAGGAAUUUAAUUAUUAAAGCAUGGAUUUUUAAGGUUUUAAUAUUCUAAAAUCAUAAUAGAAUGACUAUAUAUUAUUAAAGCUAUUAUUUUUCUGAUCUUAAGAACGUUGAUUAUGUUUUGUGGACGUUUGAAAUUAUUUUAUAUUGCUGGAAAUUUUAAAAGGAAUGUUUUAUUGGAGUUUAGAACGUUUUGGGAUCAUUAGUUUAAUAGUUAUUAUGCUUGGAGGUUAUUUAGUUAAGUUUCGAUAUUUGGGAUGGUUCAAAAUAUGUUUGGGAUGUAUUUAGAAUACUUUAGUAUUGCUGUAAAUUGUUGGAUAUUAAUUGGGGAAUCUUAUUGGUUGUUUUUAGGCGGAGAAUUCUUUGUAGGCGAUUUUUGAAUUCGUUAAAGUGGCCUAUCGGUUUGUUUACACAAGUCUCUAAGGAUCAAUAAGCAUUGUCCAUCUGCAGGUUUGAAGAUGAUGCAUCAUUGGGGAUCGGGAUUAGAGAGCUUGUAGUUAGAUUUGCUUUAUUAAGUGAUUUGGUUUGUUAACUUAAAUUUGAAAUUUGUCGUACUAUUCGUAUUUCCUUAUUUCAGUUAAAUGGGUUUUGGACUAAA